AAAACAUCAAAUCUAGGUUUGCAUCUCAGUUGUACUUUCUGGCAAAUUGUAGCUGAACUAUUGGGUCUUCUUUUUAUGAAAAUACAAAGUAUUAU